AACCCAUGGUGAAGGCAUCUUCUCAAUAAAUCUUUAUAACUCUCCCAUGCAUCAUAGAGUGUCCCUAAAUCCAUUUGUACGAAGGAAGAGAUAUCAUUCCUCAGCUU
rnacentral:snoRNA from 1 species